AUCCAGAGGACCUCAAACCCGGAAGGCCAGCCCUGCGGCCCUGAGCCGGGAGAACUCCGAGAAAACUUGAGCUGAGAGGAGCUGGGUGGUCUUCUGUGUUCCAGUCUGCGUAAUGAAGAGACCCUCUCUCACGCUGUCGCAGUCAGGUCUCAUUCCAUCUGUGCCGGGCAGGACCCUCAACUGCUGAUUCUGGCUGAACCUCCCAGAAGACCUCGGUCAUGAAAUGAGAGCCACAGUGCCUGGCCCAGCUUCCAUGGGGAAGGUGACGUCAUGAGGCCUAAUGGAAUUACAGCUCACUCCAUCAGCUAACCCUCAACCCUGGAAUCCACCCUCUCUGGCCCUUCCUGGCCUCCCCUCUGUGAUCCCAGGUGUGAAUGGAGCCUCGAUGUCCCUACUUCUGGCUGACUUCACUCUACCCCAUCCUCCAGCUUCUGAGAUACUAGAGGAUUAAAGCUGGACCCACAGAGGAUGAGGAUCACCUCUACCAUCACCCGGGGAGGCUCCAAGUGCCACAUGAGUAGACCCAAAGCAGAGCUCUUAAAGAAGCCGAGUCAUUGAAAUACAGUGCAAGAGUCCAAUAGCCCAGCUUCCAGUGUGAAGGCACUAAGAGACACCUCGUGUUAAAAAUGGGAAGCUUGCUGGUACCCCUCACACCGCACGCAUGGACGAUAAAUGACGCAAAGUGUUUAGCAAGGGUUUGACAUAUUCGAAGCAUUCAGUCAGUGGUUGUUGCGGUUGUUCCGUUGCUAAGUCAUGUCUUACUCUGUGACCCCAUGAACUGCAGCAUGCCAGGCUUCCUUGUCCUUCACCAUCUCCUGGAGUUUGAGCAAACUCAU